rnacentral:rRNA from 1 species
UACGGGGGGGGGCAAGCGUUGUUCGGAAUUACUGGGCGUAAAGGGCUCGUAGGCGGCCAACUAAGUCAGACGUGAAAUCCCUCGGCUUAACCGGGGAACUGCAUCCGAUACUGGAUGGCUUGAAUCCGGGAGAGGGAUGCGGAAUUCCAGGUGUAGCGGUGAAAUGCGUAGAUAUCUGGAGGAACACCGGUGGCGAAGGCGGGUCUCUGGGCAACAACUGACGCUGAGGAGCGAAAGCGUGGGGAGCGAACAGG